UACGGGGGGAGCAAGCGUUGUUCGGAUUUACUGGGCGUAAAGGGCGCGUAGGCGGUCAGCACAAGUCAGUUGUGAAAUCUCCGGGCUUAACUCGGAACGGUCAACUGAUACUGUGCGACUAGAGUGCAGAAGGGGCAACUGGAAUUCUCGGUGUAGCGGUGAAAUGCGUAGAUAUCGGGAGGAACACCAGUGGCGAAGGCGACUACCUGGCCGUGUUCUUGACGCUGAGGCGCGAAAGCUAGGGG
rnacentral:rRNA from 1 species